rnacentral:antisense_RNA from 1 species
CUUCACCGAGCCGAGCCACACCGGCCGGUCGGCCGGCCGGUUCUGGCCAUAGGUGGCGAGAAUGGCGUUGGCCUC